rnacentral:rRNA from 1 species
AUGCAAGUCGAGGGGUAUAGUUCUUCGGGACUAGAGACCGGCGCACGGGUGCGUAACGCGUAUGCAAUCUACCUUUUACAGAGGGAUAGCCCAGAGAAAUUUGGAUUAAUACCUCAUAGUAUAUAGCCCUGGCAUCAGGAUUAUAUUAAAGUCACAACGGUAAAAGAUGAGCAUGCGUCCCAUUAGCUAGUUGGUAAGGUAACGGCUUACCAAGGCUACGAUGGGUAGGGGUCCUGAGAGGGAGAUCCCCCACACUGGUACUGAGACACGGACCAGACUCCUACGGGAGGCAGCAGUGAGGAAUAUUGGACAAUGGGCGCAAGCCUGAUCCAGCCAUGCCGCGUGCAGGAUGACGGUCCUAUGGAUUGUAAACUGCUUUUAUACGAGAAGAAACACUCCUUCGUGAAGGAGCUUGACGGUAUCGUAAGAAUAAGGAUCGGCUAACUCCGUGCCAGCAGCCGCGGUAAUACGGAGGAUCCAAGCGUUAUCCGGAAUCAUUGGGUUUAAAGGGUCCGUAGGCGGUUUAAUAAGUCAGUGGUGAAAGCCCAUCGCUCAACGGUGGAACGGCCAUUGAUACUGUUAGACUUGAAUUAUUAGGAAGUAACUAGAAUAUGUAGUGUAGCGGUGAAAUGCUUAGAGAUUACAUGGAAUACCAAUUGCGAAGGCAGGUUACUACUAAUUGAUUGACGCUGAUGGACGAAAGCGUGGGUAGCGAACAGGAUAAGAUACCCUGGUAGUCCACGCCGUAAACGAUGGAUACUAGCUGUUGGAAGCAAUUUCAG